UCCCUGGUGGCUCAGAGGUUAAAGCAUCUGCCUCCAAUGCAGGAGACCCAGGUUCGAUCCCUCGGUUGGGAU
rnacentral:tRNA from 1 species